CACGCUGUAAACGAUGAUUACUCGAUGUUGGCGAUACACAGUCAGCGUCUGAGCGAAAGCAAUAAGUAAUCCACCUGGGGAGUACGAUCGCAAGAUUGAAACUCAAAGGAAUUGACGGGG
rnacentral:rRNA from 1 species